GACGAACGCUGGCGGCGUGCCUAAUACAUGCAAGUCGAACGCAGGGGGGACGGGUGAGUAACACGUGGGUAACCUCCCAUCAGAGGGGAUAACACUUGGCAAAAGGUGCUAAACCGAUACUGAUGGAUGGACCCGCGGUGCAUUAGCUAGUUGGUGGGGUAACGGCUCACCAAGGCCACGAUACAUAGCCGGCCUGAGAGGUGGAUCGGCCACACUGGGACUGAGACACGGCCCAGACUCCUACGGGAGGCAGCAGUAGGGAAUCUUUGGCAAUGGACGAAAGGCUGACCGAGCAACGCCGCGUGAUUGAAGAAGGUUUUCGGAUCGUAAAAUUCUUUUGUUAGAGAAGCGGUAUCUAACCAGAAAGCCACGGCUAACUACGUGCCAGCAGCCGCGGUAAUAC
rnacentral:rRNA from 1 species